rnacentral:SRP_RNA from 1 species
GCUGGGUGUGGUGGCACACGCCUGUAAUCCCAGCUACUUGGGAAGCUGAGGCAGGAGAAUCACUUGAACCCAGGAGGUGGAGAUUGCAGUGAGCCGAGAUCACGACACUCUACUCCAGCCUGGGCGACAGAGUGAGACUCUGUCUCUC